rnacentral:rRNA from 1 species
CGCCAGACUCCUACGGGAGGCAGCAGUGGGGAAUAUUGCACAAUGGGGGAAACCCUGAUGCAGCGACGCCGCGUGAGCGAUGAAGUAUUUCGGUAUGUAAAGCUCUCUCAGCAGGGAAGAAAAUGACGGUACCUGACUAAGAAGCCCCGGCUAACUACGUGCCAGCAGCCGCGGUAAUACGUAGGGGGCAAGCGUUAUCCGGAUUUACUGGGUGUAAAGGGAGCGUAGACGGCAAUGCAAGCCAGAUGUGAAAGCCCGGGGCUCAACCCCGGGACUGCAUUUGGAACUGUGUAGCUGGAGUGUCGGAGAGGCGGGCGGAAUUCCCAGUGUAGCGGUGAAAUGCGUAGAUAUUAGGAGGAACGCCAGUGGCGAAGGCGGCCUGCUGGACGAUGACUGACGUUGAGGCUCGAAAGCGUGGGGAGCAAACAGGAUUAGAUACCCCGGUA